UGUUGUUCCUCUUUCUCUCAGUAGGACUAGAAACCAUUCCUGUUGUUCCUCUUUCUCUCAGUAGGACUAGAAACCAUACCUGUUGUUCCUCUUUCUCUCAGUAGGACUAGAAACCAUUCCUGUUGUUCCUCUUUCCCCCAGUAGGACUAGAAACCAUUCCUGUUGUUCCUCUUUCUCUCAGUAGGACUAGAAACCAUUCCUGUUGUUCCUCUUUCCCCCAGUAGGACUAGAAACCAUUUCAGUUGUUCCUCUUUCUCCCAGUAGGACUAGAAACCAUUCUGGUUGUUCCUCUUUCUCCCAGUUAAUCCACUUUUAAUGUAGAAGUGUUCAGAAACAUGUUCUAUUCUUAUUUAAAAAGGUAAAAGUGACUCCAAAUGACCAUUAUUUGUAUUGGGCACAAAAUGAUCUGAUCUACAACCAAAACAAACAGCCAAUGCAUCCACGUUUCUAGAGUCACAGCUGGAUGUUGUCAUUGUGUUCUAAGAAUCAGGGACAUCCACGUUUCUAGAGUCACAGCUGGAUGUCGUCAUUGUGUUCUAAGAAUCUGGGACAUCCACGUUUCUAGAGUCACAGCUGGAUGUCGUCAUUGUGUUCUAAGAAUCUGGGACAUCCACGUUUCUAGAGUCACAGCUGGAUGUCGUCAUUGUGUUCUAAGAAUCUGGGACAUCCACGUUUCUAGAGUCACAGCUGGAGGUCGUCAUUGUGUUCUAAGAAUCUGGGACAAUGUGUUUUACCACUUUAAUACACACCAGUGAAUUUGUCCCAAUACUUUUGGUACCUUAAAGGAGGGGGACUAUGGUCAAAAAGGGCUGUAGUUUCUAAACGGUUCACCCAAUAUGGAUGAAAAUACCCUCAGAGCCAAAACAACCUAAAUGGGUCCCUGUCUCAAUACUGUUGGAGAUCACUGUAUCAUUUCCAAUCCAUAGUGCUGGAGUACAGAGCCAAAACAACCAACAUGGGUCCCUAGUGGUACGGACAGAAACAGUGGAGGGGGAGUCUGUAGUGGUACGGACAGAAACAGUGGAGGGGGAGUCUAGUGUGGUACGGACAGAAACAGUGGAGGGGGAGUCUGUAGUGGUACGGACAGAAACAGUGGAGGGGGAGUCUAGUGGUACGGAGAGAAACAGUGGAGGGGGAGUCUAGUGGUACGGACAGAAACAGUGGAGGGGGAGUCUAGUGGUACGGACAGAAACAGUGGAGGGGAGUCUGUAGUGGUACGGACAGAAACAGUGGAGGGGGAGUCUGUAGUGGUACGGACAGAAACAGUGGAGGGGGAGUGUAGUGGUACGGACAGAAACAGUGGAGGGGAGUCUAGUGGUACGGACAGAAACAGUGGAGGGGGAGUCUAGUGGUACGGACAGAAACAGUGGAGGGGGAGUCUAGUGGUACGGACAGAAACAGUGGAGGGGUCAGGGAGACUGAGGGCCUUUAACUGAACAUCUUCUGAUGUGUUGCCAUGGCAGCACAUCAACCAGCAUCAACUUUGUGUUUGUAAUUCCAGAGGGUUUCUUGUUGCUUAUAACUGAUCUUAUGGAUAUCCAUCUACAGGGUGCAUUUAGUUACGUUACAGAAAUAAAUGUCCACUUUAAUUUCCGUUAAAACCUGUUUGGAUUGUCUCUACACAGUCAGACUAAUCACACACAGCGAACCUGCCAAUCAUAUAAUUCAACCGUAUCCAUUGGCCAGCCUCUGAUGCGCUUUCCAAUCUGUCAAAACGUUUCCAUGGUUUUGCACAUUUUUUUAUUUUUCGAUAGUAGUUUUUUGUUAUGCGGUUGUUCCAUUUCUGGGUGUUUUGUCCAAUAAACUAACGGUAUUCUGAAAUCACUUCCUGGUUCGUGGUGUUUAAAAUGUACUGUUGGAAAACAGAGAUCUGACCACAGUCAUAGUACAAAAUGUUACCCCAGUGGUCACUAACCCUGC
ensembl:lncRNA